rnacentral:rRNA from 1 species
CGGAAAACUGGGGAUAAUACUCUAUAGACUAUGGAUGCUGGAAUGCUUCGUAGUCGAAAGGUCCGCCGCCGUAGGAUGGGUCUGCGGCCGAUUAGGUUGUUGUUGGGGUAACGGCCCAACAAGCCUGUAAUCGGUACGGGUUGUGGGAGCAAGAGCCCGGAGAUGGAUUCUGAGACACGAAUCCAGGCCCUACGGGGCGCAGCAGGCGCGAAAACUUUACAAUGCGGGAAACCGUGAUAAGGGAACUCCGAGUGCCCGUAAAAUCGGGCUGUCCAUCAGUUUAGAUAACUAGUGAAGAAAGGGCCGGGCAAGACCGGGGCCAGCCGCCGCGGUAGCC